rnacentral:rRNA from 1 species
CUACGGGGUGCUCCAGUGGGGAAUAUUGCACAAUGGAGGAAACUCUGAUGCAGCAACGCCGCGUGGAGGAUGACGCAUUUCGGUGUGUAAACUCCUUUUAUAUGUCAAGAAAAUGACGGUAGCAUAUGAAUAAGCACCGGCUAACUCCGUGCCAGCAGCCGCGGUAAUACGGAGGGUGCAAGCGUUACUCGGAAUCACUGGGCGUAAAGGACGCGUAGGCGGGUUGGAAAGUCAGGUGUGAAAUCCUACAGCUUAACUGUAGAACUGCACUUGAAACUUCUAAUCUAGAGUAUGGGAGGGGGAGAUGGAAUUAGUGGUGUAGGGGUAAAAUCCGUAGAUAUCACUAGGAAUACCUAAAGCGAAGGCGAUCUCCUGGAACAUUACUGACGCUAAGGCGUGAAAGCGUGGGGAGCAAACAGGAUUAGAUACCCGGGUAGUC